AUUACGUCGGUUUAUUCGCCUGAAGUCAAAGACGCAGCGGACACCGCAUCGUCCUACCCUCUCUCUCAUUUAGCCGGUUUCUUCACCAACUGAGUAGAAGAUCAUCCAGGUUACGACCCAACCAAUAACCAAGCCUCCUACAGCCAGAAGAGCUGCAGCCCAGGCCGGCACAGCAUCGUUGGGACAGUCUGCAGGGAGAGGGGUGCCUGGGGCAACUGUGACGGGUACGACAGUCGUAGAGACAUCAGAGCCACUGUUUAUCCGUGUAAAGAUGAAGGGAUGCUCCUGGAGAAGAUAUGAAGAGAUCGCAUUAAUUGAAAGACCAUGCUUGGUUAUCUUGCUCUUACAGUAGUUUCCAUUGGACAUCACCUUACUCACCCUUGUGGGACACUGAAUCUUACUGCGGUCAUAUGUGAAAUUAUUGUAGGUUUGUUUACUGUCCACCGGCUCCAGCUAAAACCGAAAACACAGGAAAAAUGCUGUUAAAUAUAGGAAAGCUGCUGUGAGAUUGUGUGAAUGUAUAUGUAUUUACCAUAUUGUUCCAGAGCGCAAUUGCCAUCUCUGCAUGUCCCCGCUCAGAGAAAUGAAAACAAUCCACAGAGAAGAAAGUCAGGUCUGGUGUGCCAUCCUAAAGCAGAAAGAGAUUUAUCAUCUUGUCAAAAGUUUUAUCUGUUGUAGUGUGAGCCCAAGGCAGACUCCAUAAGCAUUACAUUAAUCUAACAUAUUUAUAUACAUAUUUAAAAAUAUUUUACGUCUGAAUGUGUUGUUUAUGUGUGAUUUCA